CUAUACAUGACUCUGUGCAUAUCAAUAAGCGGAGGAAAAGAAACUAACAAGGAUUCCCCUAGUAACAGGCGAGUGAAGCGGGAAGAGCUCAAAUUUGAAAUCUUCAAGGUUUUACCUUGACGAAUUGUAGUUUAAAGAAGUGUUUUCUGCUGAAGUUUUGGUAAAAGUUCUUUGGAAUAGGACAUCAUAGAGGGUGAGAAUCCCGUAUUUGACCAUUACUUUCAGCUUUGUGAUACACUUUCAAAGAGUCGGAUUGUUUGGGAAUGCAGUCCAAAAUGGGUGGUAAAUUUCAUCUAAAGCUAAAUAUUGGCGAGAGACCGAUAGCGAACAAGUACCGUGAGGGAAAGAUGAAAAGAACUUUGAAAAGAGAGUUAAACAGUACGUGAAAUCGUCAAAAGGGAAGCGUUUGACACCAGUGUUGUUUUUCUCGAAAAUCAAUUAAAGAACUGUUUAUGCUAAGUUGUUUAGACUUUAUCAGCUAACUGUUUAGUUUUAGAGCUUUUCUUUAAUGCACUCUUCAGUUAACAAGUCAACAUCAAUUUCUUUUGCUGUAAAAAAGCUUGAGGAAGGUGGCUUGAGAUUCGUCUUAAGUGUUUAUAGCCUCUUGCCUAUGCAGUCGGAGAGAUUGAGGUCUGCAGCGUAGAUCCUUCGGGGCUAAAUGCAUUUGUGCUAAGUUAUAGCAUUUUAUAGACAACUUGUUGACUAUGAUUUGUCUUGUAGCUUACUCGCUUAUGCUAUUUUACCUACGCUUAGGAUGUUGACAGCAGUAUAGACUGU
rnacentral:rRNA from 1 species